rnacentral:rRNA from 1 species
AUGAGCGGCCAUAAGCUGUCGCUACUGGUUGCCUUGACGGCAUUGGUGGCGUUGACGGCGGUGGAGGCGGAGUACAAUGUCGUCGACUACGGCGCGAGGCCCGACGGCGGGGCGGACUCGGCUGGGGCGUUUUUGGCCGCGUGGGGCGCGGCGUGCAACGACACGGGGAGCUCCGGCUCCCGGCCGGUGCUGCGCGUGCCGGCGGGCAGGUUCCUGCUCAGCCGGGCCUACUUCAAGGGCCCAUGCCGGAGCGCCGGCGUGGUUGUCGCCAUCGACGUCAAUGGCACCGUUUUCGCGCCGCCGACCGUGGACAGCAGGGCGUGGAUCAUGUUCCACCACGCCGACGGCCUGGCGAUCCGCGGCGGGACGUUGGACGGGCAGGGGCAGGAGUACUGGGCGUGCAAGAAGGACGGCAGGUGCACCGGGCAGGGCCCUACGACGCUGGACAUUAGUCAGUCCAAGGGCGUGAGUGUGAAGCAGCUGACGCUGCUCGACAGCAAGAACGUCCACAUGGUCAUCUUCGACUCCACCGGCGUGACGGUCCAGGGCGUCAGGAUGGUCGCUCCGGCCAACAGCCCCAACACCGACGGCAUCCACGCCCAGCUCUCCCGCCACGUGAGCAUCCUCAACACCACGAUCAGCACCGGCGAUGACUGCGUCUCCCUGGGGCCCGGCUCCUCCGACGUGCUCAUCAGGGACAUCAAGUGCGGCCCGGGCCACGGCAUCAGCAUCGGGAGCAUGGGAGGGCAGGCCGGCGAGCAGGGGGUGAGGAACGUGACCGUGGAGAGGGCGGUGCUGACGGGCACGACGAACGGCCUGCGAAUCAAGACGUGGGGGAUGCCCAACCCAGGCUCCGUCACGGGCGUCUCCUUCUCGCAGGUCACGAUGCAGCGCGUGGCGAACCCCAUCGUCGUCGACCAGAACUACUGCCCCCGCAGCCGCAAAGUCGAAUGCCCGGGCAAGAGCUCGGGGGUGCAGAUCAGCGACGUGUCGUACGAGGACAUCGAGGGCACGUCGAGGACGCCCGUGGCGGUCAAGUUCGACUGCAGCGACACCAACCCCUGCAGCGGGAUCAGGCUCAAGAACAUCAGGCUGACGUACCGGCACAAGCGGCCGGCGCAGGCCAAGUGCCGGAACGCCGGCGGGUCCGCGUCCGGGGAGGUCACGCCGCCGAGCUGCUUCUGA